rnacentral:rRNA from 1 species
GACGAACGCUGGCGGCGUGCUUAACACAUGCAAGUCGAACGGAAAGGCCCCUUUGGGGGUACUCGAGUGGCGAACGGGUGAGAAACACGUGAGUAACCUGCCCUUGACUUCGGGAUAACUUCAGGAAACUGGGGCUAAUACCGGAUAGGAAUCCUUGCUGCAUGGUGGGGGUUGGAAAGCUUCGGCGGUUUUGGAUGGACUCGCGGCUUAUCAGCUUGUUGGUGGGGUAGUGGCUUACCAAGGCUUUGACGGGUAGCCGGCCUGAGAGGGCGACCGGCCACAUUGGGACUGAGAUACGGCCCAGACUCCUACGGGAGGCAGCAGUGGGGAAUAUUGCACAAUGGGCGGAAGCCUGAUGCAGCAACGCCGCGUGCGGGAUGACGGCCUUCGGGUUGUAAACCGCUUUCAGCAGGGGCGAAGCUUGUGGUGACGGUACCUGCAGAAGAAGCACCGGCUAACUACGUG